rnacentral:rRNA from 1 species
GGGGAAUUUUGGACAAUGGGGGCAACCCUGAUCCAGCCAUGCCGCGUGAGUGAAGAAGGCCUUCGGGUUGUAAAGCUCUUUCGGCGGGGAAGAAAUGGCAACGGCUAAUUUCCGUUGUUGAUGACGGUACCUGCAUAAGAAGCACCGGCUAACUACGUGCCAGCAGCCGCGGUAAUACGAAGGGUGCAAGCGUUACUCGGAAUUACUGGGCGUAAAGCGGCGUAGGUGGUUUCGUAAGACAGACGUGAAAUCCCCGGGCUCAACCUGGGAGAUGCGUUUGUGACAGUGAGGCUAGAGUACGGCAGAGGGGAGUAGAAUUCCACGUGUAGCAGUGAAAUGCGUAGAGAUGUGGAGGAAUACCGAUGGCGAAGGCAGCCCCCUGGGUUAGUACUGACGCUCAUGCACGAGAGCGUGGGGAGCAAACA